UGCAGAUGGGAGGAAGCAAAUGAACUCCUGGUUUUGCCUUUGCUUGCAUGCACAGCUUUUGCUUUUACCUAGUAAACUGCCUUCAUCUCAAACCAAGGUUUCUCACACUUGUACCUCUGAUUCUCUACCCUACACCACCUGGGGAGUCAGCGAGUGGCCAUGCGGUGCUGAACUGCCUGCUGGGUUAAACCACACCACCUCCAUCAGUACUGUGGAUAAGAUCCCCCUGAGCCACCUCUUCACCGGGAUGAGCGGUCACUGCAGCACAGGGCAGGGAAGUGGGGCAGAGCUGACGGGAGCCAUGCAGUCUGACAGGUUUGCAAGUCCCAUUUCCAUACUGCACGGAGGACCUUCAUUGACAUCAGCCGUCUUUUGGCUGACAACAGAAACUGAUC
rnacentral:lncRNA from 1 species